rnacentral:rRNA from 1 species
UGGCUCAGGAUUAACGCUGGCGGCAUGCCUAAUACAUGCAAGUCGAAUGAGAAGCUUGCUUCUCAUGGCGAACGGGUGAGUAACACGUAGGUAACCUGCCUUACACUCGAGGAUAACCGUUGGAAACGACGGAUAAUACUGGAUAGGACAGAGGUUCGCAUGAAGCUCUGUUUAAAAGCAAUGGUGUAUGAGGGGCCUGCGGUGCAUUAGCUAGUUGGUGAGGUAACGGCUCACCAAGGCGAUGAUGCAUAGCUGGACUGAGAGGUUGAACAGCCACAAUGGGACUGAGAACGGCCCAUACUCCUACGGGAGGCAGCAGUAGGGAAUUUUCGGCAAUGGGGGAAAAACCCCUGACCGAGCAAUGCCGCGUGAACGAUGAAGUAUUUCGGUAUGUAAAGUUCUUUUAUUAGGAAAGAUAGUGACGGUACCUAAUGAAUAAGCUCCGGCUAACUACGUGCCAGCCGCCGC